UACGGAAGGGGCAAGCGUUGUUCGGAAUCAUUGGGCGUAAAGGGCGCGUAGGUGGUUCUGUAUGUCUACCGUGAAGGCAUACAGCUCAACUGUAUUUUGUCGGUAGAAACUGCAGGACUUGAGGCUGGGAGGGGCUGGUGGAAUUCCCUGUGUAGCGGUGAAAUGCGUAGAGAUGGGGGAGAACACUCGUGGCGAAGGCGGCCAGCUAGACCAGUUCUGACACUGAGGCGCGACAGCGUGGGGAGCAAACAGG
rnacentral:rRNA from 1 species